rnacentral:ncRNA from 1 species
GACGAUCCGUUGGGGUGCCCGCAAGGCUGAGAGGUGCUGAUGCACCAACCCAUCGAACCUGAUCCGGGUAAUGCCGGCGAAGGGAACGGUUUUAGGCUCGUC